rnacentral:misc_RNA from 1 species
AAGAAAAGUAAUACUGGGGCGGUUGUUGGUUCAAUAAUUGGUGUUAUUGUUGGUCUCCUUCUUGUUGGGACUGUGAUUUUCUUUUUAUACAAGAGAAAGAAGAGGCAUGGUAGUAGAGUGCAGAGUCCAAAUACAGUUGUGGUACAUCCUAGUCAUUCUGGGGACCAAAAUUCGGUGAAGAUUACGAUUACGGAGGCUAGAGCUGAUGGGAGUGCACCUGAAA